GACCAGACUCCUACGGGAGGCAGCAGUGAGGAAUAUUGGUCAAUGGGCGCGAGCCUGAACCAGCCAAGCCGCGUGAAGGAAUAAGGCCCUACGGGUCGUAAACUUCUUUAGUCAGGGAACAAAGGGUGCCACGCGUGGCGCUGUGAGUGUACCUGAAGAAUAAGCAUCGGCUAACUCCGUGCCAGCAGCCGCGGUAAUACGGAGGAUGCGAGCGUUAUCCGGAUUUAUUGGGUUUAAAGGGUGCGUAGGCGGAAUGCCAAGUCAGCGGUAAAAUCGCGGGGCUCAACCUCGCUCCGCCGUUGAAACUGGCGUUCUUGAGUGGGCGAGAAGUAUGCGGAAUGCGUGGUGUAGCGGUGAAAUGCAUAGAUAUCACGCAGAACUCCGAUUGCGAAGGCAGCAUACCGGCGCCCAACUGACGCUGAAGCACGAAAGCGUGGGUAUCGAACAGGAUUAGAUACCCGAGUACC
rnacentral:rRNA from 1 species